rnacentral:tRNA from 1 species
ACCUGUGUGGCUUAGUUGGUUAAGCGUCUGACUUCGGCUCAGAACUGCGGCUCAGGUCAUGGUCUCACAGUUUGCGGGUUUGAGCCCCACUUUAGGCU